GGACAGGUAGUUCAGUGGGAGAACGCCCGCCUCACACGCGGGAGGCCGUGGGUUCAAACCCCACCCUGUCCACCA
rnacentral:tRNA from 1 species